rnacentral:rRNA from 1 species
UACGAGGGGGGCAAGCGUUGUUCGGAAUUAUUGGGCGUAAAGGGCGCGUAGGCGGUGUCGCAUGUCUGUGGUGAAAUCUCUGGGCUCAACUCAGAGUCUGCCGCGGAAACUGCGGUGCUGGAGUAUCGGAGAGGUGAGUGGAAUUCCCGGUGUAGCGGAGAAAUGCGUAGAUAUCGGGAGGAACACCUGUGGCGAAAGCGGCUCACUGGACGAUAACUGACGCUGAGGCGCGAAAGCUAGGGGAG